rnacentral:rRNA from 1 species
GGAGUUUGGUCCGUGUCUCAGUACCAAUGUGGGGGACCUUCCUCUCAGAACCCCUACUGAUCGUUGCCUUGGUGGGCCGUUACCCCGCCAACAAGCUAAUCAGACGCAUCCCCAUCCCUUAGCGAUAAAUCUUUGGUAUUCGUCAGAUGUCCUCAAAAUACAACAUAGAGUAUUAAUCCGACUUUCGCCGGGCUAUCCUCUACUAAGGGGAAGGUUGGAUACGCGUUACUCACCCGUGCGCCGGUCGCCGCCAGAAAUAGCAAGCUACUUCCGCGCUGCCCCUCGACUUGCAUGUGUUAGGCCUGUCGCUAGCGUUCAUC